CGUAGUUAGCCGUGGCUUUUCUNAGGGUACCGUCAUUUUUUCUUCCCUCCAAAAGGAGUUUACAAUCCGAAAACCUUCAUCCUCCACGCGGCGUCGCUGGAUCAGGCUUUCGCCCAUUGUCCAAAAAUUCCCC
rnacentral:rRNA from 1 species